CGCAAUGGGCGAAAGCCUGACGGAGCAAUACCGCGUGAGGGAUGACGGCCUUUGGGUUGUAAACCUCUUUUAUCAAGGAGGAAGUUUUGACGUGUACUUGAUGAAUAAGCAUCGGCUAACUCCGUGCCAGCAGCCGCGGUAAGACGGAGGAUGCAAGUGUUAUCCGGAAUCACUGGGCGUAAAGCGUCUGUAGGUGGUUUAAAAAGUCUACUGUUAAAGAUUGAAGCUUAACUUCAAAGAUGCCGUAGAAACUUUUAAACUUGAGUAUGGUAGGGGUAGAGGGAAUUUCCAGUGGAGCGGUGAAAUGCGUAGAUAUUGGAAAGACCACCAAUGGCGAAGGCACUUUACUGGGCCAUUACUGACACUGAGAGACGAAAGCUA
rnacentral:rRNA from 1 species